AGAUUAUGUCCUUCCUAUGGAGCAGCGCUGAUGAUUGAGCUUCACGAGAUCAAUGAGAAAUAUCAAGUGAAAAUACUUUACAAAAGGAGUCACCUCGAUGACGACUUGAUAGAGCUGAAAAUCGAGGGCUGCAAGGACAGUCAGGGCAAGGGAACUGACGUGAUGUGUGAUCUCCAUGUUUUCUCGUCAGCAUUACAACCUAUCAUCAUUGAAAACUUCGACGAGGCCUGUAAAGUUCCAGAUGAGCAAAUCUAACUAUCUACGUUCACCCUUCCAUUUUGUGAUCGAGCAGGAAAAGAAUAAGACAUAAAAAUCACAGAUUAUAAACAUUUGUUUUUGUACAAUUUACAGUUUACUUUACGAAACCUGUAUGCGUUGAGGGUGGUUCAAAUAAUACGUGCUUGAAGCAUUUUUUCUUGAACCCUCUCCCUCUUAAAACGUUUUCGUGACGUAGAAUAGACCCAAGCUCUCGUUCUGGGAUACUUCUGAUGAGUAUGGCUCAAUUUGUCGCACGUUGAGAGCUUAACUAAUACUCUCCCCCUCUUCUCUUUUUUCCCCUUCAUAUGUAAUGACAGGUAAAUUUGAAGUCUCAAAUUCACCUAGUUCUUAUACAAUAGACAUCGAUUUAGGCGCAACAAGAAUUUAGGAGGAGCGAAAGAGCACUAAAUUGGCUUACUGUUCAUUGACUUCAUGUUUUUCAAAAUUCAAUUUAGAGUUUAAAAUUAUAGUCUUAAUUUACUUUAAAAUGAUUGAUCUUGUACGAAAUUGGACGUGACACUGGUUUCCUUGAUAAUCUGUAAAUGAAGCAUUUUUAAGAGAAUUUCUUUUUGACUAGUUUUUGUAAUUAGGAACCACUAUAUCUGAUUCAUUUUAGAAACAACUCAUGCGCUUGUUGUUUUCCUAUGUAGAUAUAAGUUCCUAUAUGCUCGAGUGAGAAAUAGUGACUAAUUUCUGCUCAAUGCAGACCACAUUAAAAGAACGUUUUGUAGAAAAAUGUUUAAUAUAUGUAAAUUUUUAUGUCACUCUAAGAGGGACUCGAAUAUUGCUUUGGAGGUUGAGAAAAUAUCAUGAAAGCGCGCAGUUUGUCAUGUGGUAGAUCGAAUGCACUCGUCACACAGAGUGCUUUAAACUUUUGAGCCAUGCCGCCAAAAAAUGUGAUAUGAUUUUUCUUAUUUGAAAAUACUUCAACCGCUAGUGAAGCAAAUGUUUCCCAUGUGCUUAAAUUUAGCAUAUGUUCGUCGUUAUACACCUUCGCAAAGUACUCGGCAACAUAAUUUAUCUCAAAAUUAAAAAUUUAUCUCUCUUGGUAAGUAUAAUCACAUUUUUUUGUGACAAAAUUUUAGCAUGUGACAUUGAACUUACAUCUGCACUUCCAUGUGAACGUUGAGGACUUGCAGGAUUAAGUUUUUGGAGGGUCUUUGUUCUUAAUCUCUUUUUUUAGUACGCCGUGAGUGGAUCAAGAAACCUUACCGAGAUAUAAAUAUAUUCAGUGCAAAAAAGACUUUUUUAAUUAUACAACAGACUAAUGAUUUGAUGAUACAAUCCAGGUUCUUUUCAUCGCAGAGUUAAUUUGAAGAAAGCAAGUAACCCUCAAUAUCAGUAUUCUCCAUUUCAAACUUUUAACAAUAUCUUUCGUGUAUUUUUCGAGAAUCAAAACCUGUGUCAAAAAAUCAGCAUCUCAAAACCAAUGAUCGAGCAUAUAUCUUAAAUUUUCUCUCUUAAACUUUAAGGAGUAAAUGCAAGGUAUGCGUGACUCCAGGGAAGAUAUUUUUUCAAUUUUGAGGAUACUGAAAAGACAAUACCCCUUUGAAGUGAAAAUUCAUCAAUAAAAAGAUCAAAAAAGCCCAGAAAGUCAUUUCAAGUGUCCUGCAUCAAUCACCGCUCUACACUCUCGUCUGAAUACUUCAGCACAAGUAUAUGGCUCAUCUUAUCACAAAAUGUAUAAAUUUAACCAUCAAGCCACAUUUUGUAAAUACGUGCACGUGUACUUGAUUAAUUUUUUACAUCACAAUUUGACAGUCAUACUUACAGAGUUUACUCUCCGUGUCGGUUUGAACUGUGAUAAUCAGUGCUCAAGGAAUGAACGAUUGAAGGUUAAUAUUUUCAGUAGGUAGAAUUCUUACACUCGAAACUGUCAGUGUAUUACCUACACCUGCGAAAAAGUAAAUUGUUACGACUUUUUCCUAUUUACUUCUUUCAUUGAACUGAAGGUACAACUUUGACAGGAAACAGUUACACAAACAUUUAUAUCUCGGUUACGGUCAAUAUUAAAUAUACGUAUUCUUUCCUAUCUGGCAUAAAUGUUCAUUUCCUCCCAGUGAUUAUAAAAUAAUACUUUUUAGAAUACAGCCUGCUAAUUAUUUAAAUAAUAAAGUUAAAAAUAAUUUAAUAUUAUAUUACAACAUAGCUACCGUUUUUUGAUCGUAACAAAUUGACUUUUCAAUUACGUUCAAGGUAAUGAGGCAAUACAGAGAGGAAAAAUUUAACAUUCGAAAACAUCAACUGUGAACUUUGAUCUCUGCCACUUAAGUAAUAUUGUGCGCUCUAUUGCCUUAAAAAAUGAAUUAAACUCGUCUUAUAUCAUUACUUACUUUUGAAAAAAAUAAUUGGAAUAAGGACAAAAUCAUGCAGUGCUACAAACCGAAAAGAUGGAACAUGUUUCUAGUGAUGGUCCUGGUGAUCUCCGUUAUCACUGCUAGCGUUGGAUUCUACGUUUUCAGGGCUGGAUCCGCCGCUGAAGCAACGUUACGUUUCGUUAGCAUAGUGAGUAUGCGUGAUUCCGAGCAGUAAUACAGCUUUUCUUUUAUUUUAGUUGUAGAAAAGAGGGCAGAAACUGGAAUCCUAAAUGGACUA
rnacentral:lncRNA from 1 species